rnacentral:tRNA from 1 species
ACUUCUUUAGUAUAGUAAGUACAAUUGACUUCCAAUCAAUCAGCUUCAGAUCAACCUGGAAAGAAGUA